UAGCUCAGGUGGUUAGAGCGCACCCCUGAUAAGGGUGAGGUCGGUGGUUCAAGUCCACNN
rnacentral:tRNA from 1 species